AGGGGGAGAGGAGACCCAAGGAUUGGGAGGCUGGAAGGCGCCGGAAAGGGGAAACCGGGGUCCUGCGCCAGCAUCUCGGAGGAGGGCGCCCGCUGCAGCCCACGUGGGGCUGGCCCCAUGGAGAAGGAGUGACCAGAACCCCUUCGGCCAAUGAGCUCAGCGAACUUCACCCUCUACCCUUCCCGAACAAGGCCCGGCUCAAUGGCUUUUGAUGCGUCCUAAGCUUUCACUCCCAAGAGGAUCCUGAAGCCAAGGCCCGAGGUCCUCGCUUCCAUGCAGCUGCCCCCGACCCUGACCAUUCUGGACAGAGCUGCGCCCCUGGCUGGCACAAGCAGGAACAGAAGAACCACAGCAGCUCAGGGAUCCACAGCCCUCUCUCAGGCACCUGCAGGAUCUGGCGCUGUUCCGGAGAGGCCCGUUGCAGACACUGAACCACCAGCCAGCUGCACUUGUUGUCCUGGAUGUCAGUGCCAAUCUUGCCUGUCACACUGGGAUCCCCAAAGAGAUCAAGAUAAUCAUCCUGGGUGGGGGCGGGUGCAGAAAAGGAGGAAUGAAGAGGCACCAAGGCAGGGAAGGAGGAAAGUUGGAGCCUUUUCUCUGCCAGUGCCUCAUGCCUUCCUACCUGAAUCUGAAAGAACUCUCCCAUCUCCAGCAGGAUCUUCUUGGCAUUGGCAUGCUCCUUCUCCCCGUCAAUGCCCGCCUACAGUGAAAAGGGGAUUAACAAGCCAUACACCAGAGGUGCCUUCAUCUUCCUGGCCGCUUCAUUCCACGAGGUCUUGCCCCAGUGCAGCCCCCAAAUCUUCUCUCCUCUCCUUUCAGACAUCCCUGGCUUCCCUGAUCUAGGAAGUCCUUACUGAUGGUCCAGCCCCUAUCCCACUUAUUUUAGCUAGGUCUUCCUGCGAGUCAUAGCAGAGGUGAGUCCAUUCUGGAGGCCCUCAGACUAUCUCUUCUCUCACAAGGCUCAGUCCCUGAGUCACUCUGAUCCUUCUUCCUAAUCUUUUUGCCAUUUCCAAAUUCUUUCAGGAUGAAAAGGAAACUUGGAGAAGGUCAGCAUAGACAGUUAAUCCCACUGACCGCCUCCGAAUCCAGUCUCCUCCCUCUCAGCCUGAAUUAUAUCCUCCCCACUCCUAUCCGUACUCAGAUAGAGGAUUUAUUGUUCCCCCUUGAUGGGCCAUCCACAUUCAUAUUAGCCACUCAGUUAAUUUUUACAGUAGUCCCAUGGGUGGGGAUUUUUAUCCUCAUCUUACAGCUGAGGAAACAGACUCAGAGAGAUUAAGUAACUUGCUCAAGAUCACACAGCCAUUCAGUGGGGGCACCAGAUUGUCCAAAGUUGUCUGCCCUGUGGCCUCCUAUCCAAAAGCCCACAUGAGCAGGGCAGCGAGGGUGCGGAGGCUCACUCACCAUAUACAUAGCAGCAGCUACAGGAAGGUAAAAGGAGUAGAAAGCCGUCUUGUACUUGACAAUGGAUUUGUACCUGAGUACAGGGAGAAGAUAAACUCCUCAGAAGGAUAAUGCCCCUGCCCCAGCCCUCCCUCACUGUCCAGAUAUGGUUCCCAUUGUCCCUCACCUCUUUUCAGUGAAUCUGCCAAGAUCUACAUUGCCCUGGGGGGCCGUGAUGAGGUCCAGGGUCUGUCCGAUCUCAGUCUGAUAAGAACUCUAAGGAAGAGGAAAAUGGCCCAUGACCUGGGCUUUCUCCAGGGCUGGAGAACCCUGAAAUCUUGGGCCCUACAUCCCAUACCAGUUGACACCUGGGCAGUCAGAAAGACAGCAGGAGGGAGAGAGGGGCCCAAGACUCAAGGCCCAUCCAGUCACACACACAGUCCCUUCCCACUCCUCAGUCACAGAGACACAAAAGCCCCUCUCGCCACCACCACCCUCCCCAAUUCCCUUCCUCAAUUAUUUCCCCAUCCAGGCAAACCGAGGUAUCUCCUUUGUCCCGAAACAAGCUAGACGAGAAUGUCCUACAGAGGCCAAGGCUACUGUGGGCAGCCUCUGGGCACUGAGCCCUGGUCUGCAGCACACCUGCAGGAAGAGCUCGAUCAGGUUCAUAUAAUAGGGCUGCUCCCGGCAGUAGAACUUCAGCAGGCGGUAGACACAUGCUUCCAGAAGGAAAGCAUCAUUGAUUGCAUCCAAACCUAUGCCUGG